rnacentral:rRNA from 1 species
AACGAACGCUGGCGGCAUGCCUUACACAUGCAAGUCGAACGGCAGCACGGGAGCAAUCCUGGUGGUGAGUGGCGAACGGGUGAGUAAAGUAUCGGAACGUGCCCAGUCGUGGGGGAUAACGUAGCGAAAGUUACGCUAAUACCGCAUACGAUCUAUGGAUGAAAGCGGGGGAUCGCAAGACCUCGCGCGAUUGGAGCGGCCGAUAUCAGAUUAGGUAGUUGGUGGGGUAAAGGCUCACCAAGCCGACGAUAUGUAGCUGGUCUGAGAGGACGACCAGCUACACUGGGACUGAGACACGGCCCAGACUCCUACGGGAGGCAGCAGUGGGGAAUUUUGGACAAUGGGCGCAAGCCUGAUCCAGCCAUGCCGCGUGCAGGAUGAAGGCCUUCGGGUUGUAAACUGCUUUUGUACGGAACGAAAAGGUUUGGCCUAAUACGCUGAACUCAUGACGGUACCGUAAGAAUAAGCACCGGCUAACUACGUGCCAGCCGCCGCAGUAACAC